AAUAAUUGAAACUUGAUGAAAUUCUAUUUAUAUAUUAGAAUUUAUGUCUUUUCACUUUUCAUUAGAUGACGAUAAUAAGGUGUUAAUGGAUUUGGAAGUUUUAGGGUGUACCAAGGAGUGAGAAUUUCUGAAAAUAUCGAGGGACUUAAUCUGACGAAUCCACGGGCAAUUUAAUCGCGUAUAAAGUUUAAAAUAACUUCUAUACUUGAGUGUCUUGGAGAUUUCUGAAGGAACCUGUAAUCUUGAUGAAUUUAAGGAGCUGGCAAUUUUCGCGAAGCUAAUUCUGCUCUUGAGGGAAGCACAACUUUUGCUCCAUUUCGUCAGUCUUAAACAAACACUUAUAGAAAUCGUUUUAUUUCAUUCUUAGUUAAUUUAUAUAGAUUAAUUUAAAUAAUUUGUUUUAGAACAUUCGAAGAUUACAAGGGAAAACACAUGUCUUCAUUGUAUCAUGGUAAUGCUAUAAUUUCAUUGAUCUUGAUGUUAUUCUGUGAUUAAAAGGAUAUACUUUGAUAUGACACAGUUAAAGAUAGGAAAAACCCAUUUAGUCUAAAGGUGUAACUGAUUAAAAAUAUGUGACAAGUCCAUAAAGAUUUAUGAAAAAAUUAACUUACCAUAAUAAUUUUGAGAAACCAAUAUAUUUGAUGAUAUCACUCAUAACCAAUUUUAAUAAAAAGACAAAUUUGUUUUCUUUUAGUAGAGGUGUCGCAUUUAGGAAAUGAAUUUAACAGUGCCAUAUCAGACAUUGGCGGAGCCCCGAGUCGCCAAAUGGACGAUAAUACGAACCAAUCGGCAGGACGUACUUGAUGAACGUAAUAAUCGAUCGGUUGAGACAUUUGACACACUUUUCCAGCCAGACAACGAUUAAUUUUCGUCGAUGCAAAUCUGUACUAAGUGAUGGGACGAAAACGUGGAAAUGGCACAGGGCGAAGAGGAGAAUUGAUACGGUGUUGGUAGCUCGUGUGCGUGACGUGGAAAGCACACGCGAGCACACGCUCACGCUGCUCGCGUGUCAACUACCGUAACCCUCGAGUACAUCGGGGGUUUCACGAUGGACGGGGUCGCGGCUGAAAGGAAGGGGCUGAAAAAAGGUGUGAAUGCCGGAUGGCAUUCAUUCAAAUGCCGUCCAAUCACAGCAUCGUACUCCAGGUCGAGUAGCAGGGCCGGCAUGCAUCAGGAAUUAUUAAGUCCUCGCGAUUCCCUGUUGCGUUAACGAGCCAAAUUAACUCAAACCGAGAAGAAAAACCGUCUGCGAUGUAAACUGGAUAAAUAUUGUAUUAAUUAUUGCUGCAUUGCGUAUUCUGUUAACCACGCCGAAGUGGAUGUUCUAAAAGGAAGCUUUAUGCUUAUAAAAUAGAAAUUUAAGACUAUUUUAAAGAUUGGUUUGGAAAAAGGAUGAGCAAAUUUAGAGUAAGAAGGAUUGUAUUUGAGUGAGAUUUCAACAAAUCAAAUAAGACAGAAACUGGAAUGAAAAGUCGUGGCAUUAAAUCAAGUAGAUCUGCUAAUUUCCUGUGGAUCAAUUUUGUAUAGUUAAUUGCAUUUUAAUUUUUGUUGCACAGUAUAAAUUGGUCUGGAAGCGUAAACAAAGCAAUGGACAGUAUGUCGAACGGUAUUUUGUUAGAAUAAGGAUAUUUCUGAUAAGAUAUAAACAAAAAGCAGAGCCAGAAAUGUGUGGCUAUAUUUGAAUAGCAAAGCGUGUGUUACAUUGAAGAAGAUAAAAAUGAAGAUUGAAGAUAAGAAUAAGGUUCUGCAGUUUCAGUUAGACACCGCUCUGAAAUUUAUGAAUCAAAUAGAGAGGAUCCGGCUCGACUCGCCGUGGCAACGUCUUUCUGCCGAGUGUUUUUGACACGAGGCGGUCUCUCCAAUCGAUCCAGGCUAGAAUAGCCGAACCGGAAGUGGGACGUUUAGGCUCGAUGGGAAUGACAACGAAGAGAGAGCGACUUAACUUUGGAUCACGACGGGGCCCUCUCGCUGUGAAUCACUCGAACGAAUUUCCUCGAUAAGAUAGCUAGCUCUCCUCCCAGCCGCCUAUUCUUCCAUGCGAGAAUUACUUUCGUUCAACGAAGGAGAGGCGAUUCUUCUACUUAAGAAUUAAUUGAAAGGGAAACGAAUCGUCGACGUUGAUCGAACGAGGAUCUAGAAGACAUCAGCUUCUUCCAUGAACCAUCCUGUUUCAUCUCUUUCAUAAGUUAUUAAAUAGAUAAAAAAGAAGAGCGUCAAGAGAAAUUGCUAUUAUAAUUUUGGUAGAUUAAUUUACGGUUAUGUGUAUUUCAUUUGUUAGAAUACUAGUAGGAUUGUUCAUACUUAAGAUGUGGCCAAAAUAUUCGGUUCAUACGUACUCGCGUAAUUGUUUUCGUGGUAUAAGUUUAAAAGAAGAACUUCUUCUUUAGAAGAGAUGGAACGGAUUCUGUGAGAAAAAUGAAAUGAUACUUAUACUUUUGUUAAAUUCUGCGAUACUGCAACUGCACAGAAUUUUUUAAACGCUGUCUUAGAGAACUGAUUAUUUAAAUCAUGAAAAUAAGUAAAAAUAUGGAAAUUUAAUGGUUGAACUAUUUAAUUUUAUUAAUAUCUUCAGAUCUACUGAACGAAGAUCGAUUAGCCUUGAUAUUUCCAAAAGAACUGCUAUAAUCUGGAAUAUAAUUAAUUUCUAUAAAGAAAUUCUAAUUUAAUCUAACAAUGAAAAAAUGUUUCAUUUAAUUUUAAUUUAAUAAUUGAAGAUUGCUGUGGAUUAAUAUUAAAAGAACAAUAAGAGAAGAUAAAUUCUCUCUAGCAAAGAGAAUCUUAUUAAUUCCACUUAAUAUUUCUAAAUAGAUUUCAAGUAUCAAUUUGAACAAUAACUUACUAGGCCACAAUUGGUGUGGUUAGAGGCAUCAGUGAAGCAGGAUGAAGGUAGAUCCCGUUUCACGUUCAGGUUUUCUGGUGUCUACGGUUGAAACUGAUAUACUCUGAGCUGAAAGACAAGUAACUUUCAUCGAUCUUGUUCGGUGAUCCCGUCAUCCCCCAGUGGCGAGGAUCUCCCUCUCGUUUUUGCGUUUAAUUGCUCGUCACGACGACGAGCGUCGAACCCGAAUAAAUUUGAAAGCUGUUCACGGGGAAUUUUAUUGAACGUCCGGCAGAAACUCUGCGACGAUUCUCACCGUUAUUAACGUAUCCAUUCUGGCCGCGUUUUACUCUCAAACUAUAAGGAAAUUAAGCAGCUGUUUCACUGAAAUGAAAGAAAAUAUGUUGCAAUCUGAUAAAACAGUUUCCAUCUCAACUGACAUAACGUCAGAACAAUUUUCAUCCGAGUCAUUCUUUCUGUUAAAAAAAUUAAUUUUCUAGAAAGAAGAUUGUGACCAAGUUUAACUAAGUGUUAUGUCUCUUGGAGGUCACAUUUUAGGAGAAAAAAUUAUUGUUAUUGAGAUGUAUAUUGUUAAAAUUUAAUAUUAAUUAUAAAUUAUUAUUAUAGAAAUUAUAGAUAAUUGUAGAUCAAGAAGGGACUUGUGUAAUACGAUGAAAGUUUUGUUUAAAACGUUGAACUGUGCAUCGAAUAGAGAUUAAAGUUAUUGUUCCGUUUUUGGAAAGAGGGAAAACAUAGACAAAGGUGAUUUUCGUUAUGAGCUGCUCAGUGAUUUUCGUGGCUGGCACAAACCACUAGAUUCCUGUUCAUGUUAAGGUUCUGUAUAUUUUCAGUGACUUCUGUCAGAGAGUAGUAUGACAAUUGGCAGCUGAUUGCGAUCUUGCACCCCUGUUGGGAGGGAAAGGAGAAAAAAUUAGCGACGUAGGAGGCAAUCAACGUGUCUGUGAAGUAGCGUGGCCCUAGGUUUUGCGGCUGUAUCGACCUAAUAGUCCGUAGUUCGCGGCAGCUCGUAAAAUACGGCGAUUACACGACGUGAUUUCGAGGAAAACCAUAAUAGCCGACCCUGACCGUCGAGAAAUCGUUCCAUCGGAACGAACAGUUCAGAAGAUCCUCCCUUUGCAAUUUAUCGAUGCUGCAAUUCGGCUCUCCAACCUAUCCAACCUUCAGAAACUGACGAAUUUUCUAAAAGGCCCAUAUAAAACGUGUCUUGCUUGUCGAAAUGAUCAAUUCAUAGAAACUUUGGUAAUUUACAUUGGUGUAUUUUUGCA